UAUGUGAUCGUCUCUCGCAUAUCAAUAAGCGGAGGAAAAGAAACUAACAAGGAUUCCCCUAGUAACGGCGAGUGAAGCGGGAAGAGCUCAAAUUUGAAAUCUUAAAGGGUUUCCCUUUACGAAUUGUAGUUUAAAGAAGUGUUUUCUGUUGAGGUUUUGGUAAAAGCUCUUUGGAAUAGGACAUCAUAGAGGGUGAGAAUCCCGUAUUUGACCUUUACUUUCAACUUUGUGAUACACUUUCAAAGAGUCGGAUUGUUUGGGAAUGCAGUCCAAAAUGGGUGGUAAAUUUCAUCUAAAGCUAAAUAUUGGCGAGAGACCGAUAGCGAACAAGUACCGUGAGGGAAAGAUGAAAAGAACUUUGAAAAGAGAGUUAAACAGUACGUGAAAUUGUCAAAAGGGAAGCGUUUGACACCAGUGUUGUUUUUCUGAAAAUCAAUUAAAGAACUGUUUAUGCUAAGUUGUUUAGACUUUAUCAGCUAACUGUUUAGUUUUGAGCUUUUCUUUAAUGCACUUUUCAGUUAACAAGUCAACAUCAAUUUCUUUUGCUGUAAAAAAGCUUGAGGAAGGUGGCUUGAGAUUCGUCUUAAGUGUUUAUAGCCUCUUGCCUAUGCAGUCGGAGAGAUUGAGGUCUGCAGCGUAGAUCCUUCGGGGCUAAAUGCAUUUGUGCUAAGUUAUAGCAUUUUAUAGACAACUUGUUGACUAUGAUUUGUCUUGUAGCUUACUCGCUUAUGUUAUUUUACCUACGCUUAGGAUGUUGAUCUACAGAGCGAGAGU
rnacentral:rRNA from 1 species